rnacentral:rRNA from 1 species
GUGGGGAAUUUUGGACAAUGGGCGAAAGCCUGAUCCAGCAAUGCCGCGUGCAGGAUGAAGGCCCUCGGGUUGUAAACUGCUUUUGUACGGAACGAAAAGCUUCUGGUUAAUACCCGGGAGUCAUGACGGUACCGUAAGAAUAAGCACCGGCUAACUACGUGCCAGCAGCCGCGGUAAUACGUAGGGUGCAAGCGUUAAUCGGAAUUACUGGGCGUAAAGCGUGCGCAGGCGGUCUUGUAAGACAGAGGUGAAAUCCCCGGGCUCAACCUGGGAACUGCCUUUGUGACUGCAAGGCUGGAGUGCGGCAGAGGGGGAUGGAAUUCCGCGUGUAGCAGUGAAAUGCGUAGAUAUGCGGAGGAACACCGAUGGCGAAGGCAAUCCCCUGGGCCUGCACUGACGCUCAUGCACGAAAGCGUGGGGAGCAAACAGGAUUAGAAACCCGGGUAGUCC